rnacentral:rRNA from 1 species
UACAGAGGGUGCAAGCGUUGUUCGGAUUCAUUGGGCGUAAAGGGUGCGUAGGUGGCGCCGUAAGUCGGGUGUGAAAUUUCGGAGCUUAACUCCGAAACUGCAUUCGAUACUGCGGUGCUUGAGGACUGGAGAGGAGACUGGAAUUCAUGGUGUAGCAGUGAAAUGCGUAGAGAUCAUGAGGAAGACCAGUGGCGAAGGCGGGUCUCUGGACAGUUCCUGACACUGAGGCACGAAGGCCAGGGGAGCAAACGGG